rnacentral:tRNA from 1 species
GCGGAAGUAGCUCAGUAGUAGAGCACCGAGCAUGGGACUAAACACCCCAGCCAAACUCGGAGGCCGGAGGUUCAAUUCCUCCUUUCCGCU